UACGUAGGUGGCAAGCGUUGUCCGGAAUUAUUGGGCGUAAAGCGCGCGCAGGUGGUUUCUUAAGUCUGAUGUGAAAGCCCACGGCUCAACCGUGGAGGGUCAUUGGAAACUGGGGAACUUGAGUGCAGGAGAGAAGAGUGGAAUUCCACGUGUAGCGGUGAAAUGCGUAGAGAUGUGGAGGAACACCAGUGGCGAAGGCGACUCUU
rnacentral:rRNA from 1 species